UGGGAGUCUGGAGGGGCAUUGCCGUAACCAUGUUUUUAUGAUUUGGGGGGAGGGGGCGAGGGAAUACAAAAUUUAAGAUUCCGCUUUCAAGUUCGUGGGCAUGAAAUGAAAAUUUUGUAAGUUGCACUUGCUCCGGGGUCAUUGACAAGAUUGUGCACUCUUGUCGGAUUCAUUUGUUAGAAAAGAUGGGUGUGUUUCAUCUUGAAUCCAACAUAGACUAGAGAUGAAUAUUUGGAAAAGGCCCAUGCUUCAGUGAACCAGGGUGUGUUUUAAGUCAUUGGCCACAAACAAGAACUACUACUUUCUCCAACAAUAAUGCCUAUGCAUCUAUUUUUUUUAACUCAU
rnacentral:lncRNA from 1 species